rnacentral:rRNA from 1 species
UACGUAGGGUGCGAGCGUUAAUCGGAAUUACUGGGCGUAAAGCGUGCGCAGGCGGUUUUGUAAGUCUGUCGUGAAAUCCCCGGGCUCAACCUGGGAAUUGCGAUGGAGACUGCAAGGCUAGAAUCUGGCAGAGGGGGGUAGAAUUCCACGUGUAGCAGUGAAAUGCGUAGAGAUGUGGAGGAACACCGAUGGCGAAGGCAGCCCCCUGGGUCAAGAUUGACGCUCAUGCACGAAAGCAUGGGGAGCAAACAGG